CCUACGGGCGGCAGCAGUGAGGAAUAUUGGUCAAUGGCCGGAAGGCUGAACCAGCCAUGCCGCGUGAAGGUCAGUGCCCCAUGGGCGUUAAACUUCUUUUGUGCGGGGGCAAUAAUGGUCACGUGUGGCCAGACGAGAGUACCGGACGAAUAAGCAUCGGCUAACUCCGUGCCAGCAGCCGCGGUAAUACGUAGGUGGCCAGCGUUGUCCGGAUUUACUGGGUGUAAAGGGGGGGUAGGCGGGUUGGAAAGUCAGGUGUGAAAUCCUGGGGCUUAACCGCAAAACGGCAUUUGAAACUGUUGAUCUAGAGUGCGGGAGAGGUAGGCGGAAUGCGUGGUGUAGCGGUGAAAUGCGUAGAUAUUACGAGGAACACCGGUGGCGAAGGCGGCAUGCUGG
rnacentral:rRNA from 1 species